rfam:Babesia microti strain RI chromosome III, complete genome.
AUGAUAUGGAUUGGGCUACUUCGUAGUUUACAGACGGAUAUUCAUAAUGCUACGGGGAAAGUCCCCGCGUGGAAAGGCUUAAAGGGCACGGGAGUAACACCCGAGUACUGAUUCCCUCAGGAAACCACACUCUUCACUAGAAAUGUAGCCAACGAUCAACGUAUACAUAAUGGGGCUUAUAAAUCCAUAUCA